rnacentral:lncRNA from 1 species
AAUCCUGAUGGUAACUGAAGUGAGACUGUGCCGACGACGAUUGCAUCAACCUUGGAACCAUUUCCCACACGCAUCGUCACUUCAUCCUUCACUAGCCUUCGUUUAUUCCGCAGUUCGUGCUUCGAGUUGCAAAUAUGAGCAACAGAACCGGUAUCAAAUACCCAUGCACUACUACGAGAGUUGGUUAAGUACACAUCAAUAAC